rnacentral:rRNA from 1 species
GACGGAGGAUGCAAGUGUUAUCCGGAAUCACUGGGCGUAAAGCGUCUGUAGGUGGUCAAAUAAGUCAACUGUUAAAUCUUGAGGCUCAACCUCAAAAAUCGCAGUCGAAACUAUUCGACUAGAGUAUAGUAGGGGUAAAGGGAAUUUCCAGUGGAGCGGUGAAAUGCGUAGAGAUUGGAAAAGAACACCGAUGGCGAAGGCACUUUACUGGGCUAUUACUAACACUGAGAGACGAAAGCUAGGGUAGCAAAUGGG